AGACCUUCCUAACGUUAUCUCUGAGUGACAUCGCCAGGAGAGUUCAUCUACAUGCACCGCAAGAGGCUGAGCAGUAUGUCAGAAAUAUGAUUGAAGAUGGUGAGAUCCAUGCAACUAUCAGCAAACAGAAUGGAAUGGUCCAUUUCCAUGACAACCCAGA